rnacentral:lncRNA from 1 species
GGCACUUGCAACUUUAUUGCGCCAGCAAGAACAUGCAUACAGCCCAGUCUAACGUACAGGAUCAAAAAGAGACCUUAUUUCGGCUGGCAAUUACCUUACCCGCUUGUUCAUUAUCUGACUCCUGCACUCCUCCCAAGUGUUCAAUGUUAACCAGAUGGCAAAGUUAACCAGACAGAGGAAAUCCACAUAAUUACUCUAGAUGAAGCCCCCUAACUGCGGAUUAGAAGGAAAAGAGAUGAAGGGUGCUGCACUAAUAAUAACAACCAUUUUCAACCAAGGCAGGAUUCUGGGCCUAGAAUCUUCAGUGACAAAUUACCAGGAGAGGAGGAGGGAAAUGAAGAGCUGGAGGCCUAGGGAGAUGGUGUGAGGAGAGGAGACUGUGCCUUUCCACUUCUUAAUAAUUAAUGUUCUCCUGCUGCUCUGAGUCUGCAUCACCAGUGAUUCAGUUUGAGUCAGACAUCCAACAACAACUGAGCAAAAGAAUCAUCUCAGAUCCAAGCAAUGGUGACGCGCAGAUAGAAGAGACUGAGGCCAACGACCAAAGCAAAGGACAGCAGAACUGACUGACACAGCUCAGAAAAUAUCCAAAGCUCUGUAUGCUCUGGAAAGGAAGACAAGAAAUGCUAAAGACUCUGGAUAUUGCUCUGUUUCUAUAAGGUCCCACCCAUAUACCAUCUCUUCUUUUGGAUUUCCUUUGGCAGGGUUCCCUUGUAUGGAAGUUCUCAGGAGAACAACACUCUCAGAGUCCCACUGUCUCAAAGAAUUCUUAAUGGACAGGUAUUUUUAAAGAAGUCAGGGUUAUCCACAGCUAUGUACAUAUAAUACCAAAUCAGAUCAUUUAUUCUGUACCUGAGGCAAAAAAGCUUCUGAUUCCUGAAUGGAUUUCUUCACUGGUUCUUCUGGGGGAUGAGAGAGAGAAACCAUUUACAAAGCUGAAGGAGAGCUAAGUCCACCCCUACACUGGCUGAGUUUCUUUGUAUAACAACUGUUCUCCCUUCCUAUUUUCUUCAAUUAUCUCUUCUUUCCCCAGCUAUACUUGGCCCCAAGGUUUCAACCUCACACUGAAGAAAGUGACAUAAGAAAACACAAGUCCCAGUGCUAUCAGGGGCUAUCUGGAAAAGCUGCUUAAACAGCAAGUGAAAGAAGGCUCUCCCCUACCCCGUUCUAGACUCACCCUGAAGUUAUUUGAAGGAUCCUUGAGACUCUUUUGGAUUGCUGCUUGGAGAACAUUCCUGUAACUUGUCCCUGCUCCUUGAACUAUAAAAGCAGAAGGGAGGUACUGAGUUAAAACUUACAAAUUAUUAUCAAAUAAAUCUUCAAUAGUGGUUCAGUCCAA